GGGGCUGUAGCUCAGUUGGGAGAGCGCCUGCCUUGCAAGCAGGAGGUCAUCGGUUCGAUCCCGUUCAGCUCCA
rfam:Brevibacillus panacihumi W25 genomic scaffold Scaffold3, whole genome shotgun sequence.